rnacentral:snRNA from 1 species
GUGCUUGCUUCAGCAGCACAUAAACUAAAAUUGGAAUGAUACAGAGAAGAUUAGCAUGGCCCCUGUGAAAAGAUAAUACACAAAUUUAUAAAGUGUUCCAUAUUAAA